UACGGAGGUGGCGAGCGUUGUCCGAAGUUACUGGGCGUAAAGCGCGCGUAGGCGGGGGAUUAAGUGAGAAGUGAAAGGCUGGGGCUCAACUCCAUGCAGUGCUUCUCAUACUGGUCUUCUUGAGGGGGGUAGAGAGAAGUGGAAUGGCUGGUGUAGCGGUGAAAUGCGUAGAUAUCAGUCGGAACACCUGUGGCGAAAGCGGCUCACUGGACCACAACUGACGCUGAGGCGCGAAAGCUAGGGGAGCAAACAGG
rnacentral:rRNA from 1 species